AUGUGGUUUAAUUCGAAGCAACGCGAAGAACCUUACCAGGCCUUGACAUGCAGAGAACUUUCCAGAGAUGGAUUGGUGCCUUCGGGAACUCUGACACAGGUGCUGCAUGGCUGUCGUCAGCUCGUGUCGUGAGAUGUUGGGUUAAGUCCGUAACGAGCGCAACCCUUGUCCUUAGUUACCAGCACGUUAUGGUGGGCACUCUAAGGAGACUGCCGGUGACAAACCGGAGGAAGGUGGGGAUGACGUCGAGUCAUCAUGGCCCUUACGGCCUGGGCUACACACGUGCUACAAUGGUCGGUACAAAGGGUUGCCAAGCCGCGAGGUGGAGCUAAUCCCAUAAAACCGAUCGUAGUCCGGAUCGCAGUCUGCAACUCGACUGCGUGAAGUCGGAAUCGCUAGUAAUCGUGAAUCAGAAUGUCACGGUGAAUACGUUCCCGGGCCUU
rnacentral:rRNA from 1 species